rnacentral:rRNA from 1 species
UACGGGGGGGGCAAGCGUUGUUCGGAAUUACUGGGCGUAAAGGGCUCGUAGGCGGCCAACUAAGUCAGACGUGAAAUCCCUCGGCUUAACCGGGGAACUGCGUCUGAUACUGGAUGGCUUGAAUCCGGGAGAGGGAUGCGGAAUUCCAGGUGUAGCGGUGAAAUUCGUAGAUAUCGGGAGGAACACCAGUGGCGAAGGCGGAGACCUGGGCCGAUACUGACGCUGAGGUGCGAAAGCGUGGGGAGCAA